UACGAAGGGGGCUAGCGUUGUUCGGAAUUACUGGGCGUAAAGGGCGCGUAGGCGGUGUGUCAAGUCAGGCGUGAAAGCCCCGGGCUCAACCUGGGAACCGCGCUUGAGACUGGCACGCUCGAGUUCGGGAGAGGAUGGUGGAAUUCCCAGUGUAGAGGUGAAAUUCGUAGAUAUUGGGAAGAACACCGAUGGCGAAGGCAGCCAUCUGGACCGUCACUGACGCUGAGGCGCGAAAGCGUGGGGAGCGAACAGG
rnacentral:rRNA from 1 species